rnacentral:lncRNA from 1 species
UGGUGUAUCUCCCAUAACAUCUCAAUAAUACAGUCUAGCAGAUCCAAAUGUUGUUCGAGACUAUGUAGUGGAUGCAUACGAUAAUUAUAGUAAAAUGCCAAUAAUAUGUCCCGCUUCUUCGCAAAACCAUAAGCUUCUGUCCUUGUGGGGGUUCUUACUAUUCGUGCCAUAACUAGGACAAACAUUAAUUAUGUUACUCUACAAGGCUUCAUAAUCUCUACCAUGACUUGAUUCAAAAUAUUCC